UCUAAAGCCUGUUGUACUGCUGCCAAGACUUGCUCUUGUUCAUUAAUGUCUCUACAUAAUUUAAUAUAUGUGUUUAAAUUAUGUAGAGACAUUAAUGAACAAGGGCAAGUCUUAGCAGCAGUACAACAGGCUUUAGA
rnacentral:miRNA from 1 species